UCAUUUACCUGGAACGCCAGAAUACCAAGGUGUUAGCAGACAUCCUGUGCUGUUCCAUUCCUUUUAAAUUCAUUUAAGCACAUUUUUUAUUAAUUUGUUAAGUGCCAGACACUGCAAUAGGCAUCGAGGGUACAAAAUCUGAACAGGAUAUAGUCCAGAUGAGGACGGGUGAAGGGGUUUCUGGCUGACACAACAGAUGUUUUUAACAGGCAGCCACACAUUUUUGAAAAGCCUUCACGGGAGCUCUGGAGAGGACUCGCCAACCCAGAACGGGUAUUUUAAGGGCCCUCCACCCCCACCAGUCUCAAGAAAUGAGGGAAAUGAUUAUGAAGGGGGUCCCCAAGCCGACUAAAAAGUUUAAUGAUGCUAUAAAGGGUUUUGGUCGGCUUCGUCUCCUAGGCCCUGAGAUAUGUUCAGUGUCGUCCGCGGGCCGGACGUUAACGCAGGAGCCAGGGCCGCUUCUUCUGAGGUCCCCUGGGAAGUUCCACGCGCGGAACCAGCCCCUUCCAGGGUGUGAGCCCUGGUAUGGGACUCGCUUCCAUGAACACAUCCGCGUCUCUUAGACGGGGGAGAAAGUGGGGGCUCCCCAAGCAGAAAGCCCAAGUCCCGUCCUCCCCACUAACUGUGCGCCCCUGCGACUCUGCCCGCUAGUCAGUUACACGGCCCGCUAGGCCAGGGGGCGGAGCUGGGAGCCGGGCGGGUCCCCCUCCCACCGCGGCCGCCUGACCUGCACCAAGGCCGCCAGCGCGAAGAAGGCGGCCAUGAGUCCGUUGCAGGCCCGCCACAGCGCUGGCGCCAUGGCUCGGAGAACACGGCGCGGGGCGCACCUGACAUACCUGGAUAUAAACAAUAUCCAAGGCCCCUAAGGUAAAAGCCUUGCUCCAAGUCCCCUUCUGACUUCUAGUCACUUCCGUGCUGCCAGCAGAGGGCGUGGGAUUCUUCCUGAGGAGCCUGAGUCUCAGCUUUGCCAGGUCCUUGCUGUGUGACCUUGGGCACCUGUGCUCCCUUGACAAAGAGGAAUAAAACCUCUUCAGACUACUCUCCUAUCGAUUCUCUCCUGGAACAUAUGACCACCAUCAAUUAUAGGCAAGAACAUGAACACGGGAGUCCCAAAGACUUGGGUUCAAAUGUCAGCCCCUUCACUCGCUGGCUGUAGGUGUGAGGCCCUGGCUCCUGUGGGGCUAUUGCAGAGGAGAAACUUCUGGAACAGAGAGCUCCUUGUCCAGGGAUGCUGCAUCUGGGUGAGCUGCUCCUUGGAUAUGGUGCAAGUGUGGCCAGGGUGUGGUGUGGAAGGAGCAGAAGUCUUCAGGACUGAAUCUGGAUGGACCACUGUGACAGCUGUAUACCCAGGUGGUACCAGUUUCCCUCUCUGCAGAAGUCCCCCCAACAGCACCAUUCUCAGUGCCAUACCUGGCCUCAUCAGGGCUCUGAUGCAAGACACUGUAUAUGCAGAAUAUAUUAUUUCAUCCUCACAACAGUUCUGUAUCUUCCACAUUUUAUAGGCUAAGGAAAUAGGCUCAGGGUAGUCAAGUAGCUUUCCCAAAGGCACACAGCAG
rnacentral:lncRNA from 1 species